CAGAAUCGCAAGAUCUCUGCUACCCUCGCGAACCUACCGAAACGUUGCCUCGGCGGUCGCCCGGCCUCCGCGCCGGGUCCGCCGGCGGCCCCCAACUCCGUCUCUGCAGUGUUGUCUCUGAGUUCAUUUACAAAUAUAUCA
rnacentral:misc_RNA from 1 species